UUAGUAGCGGCGAGUGAAGCGGCAAAAGCUCAAAUUUGAAAUCUGGCUCUUUCGGAGUCCGAGUUGUAAUUUGAAGAAGGUAUCUUUGGGUCUGGCUCUUGUCUAUGUUUCUUGGAACAGAACGUCACGGAGGGUGAGAAUCCCGUGCGAUGAGAUGAUCCAGGCCUAUGUAAAGUUCCUUCGAAGAGUCGAGUUGUUUGGGAAUGCAGCUCUAAGUGGGUGGUAAAUUCCAUCUAAAGCUAAAUAUUGGCGAGAGACCGAUAGCGAACAAGUACAGUGAUGGAAAGAUGAAAAGAACUUUGAAAAGAGAGUGAAAAAGUACGUGAAAUUGUUGAAAGGGAAGGGCUUGAGAUCAAACUUGGUAUUUUGUAUGUUACUUCUUCGGGGGUGGCCUCUACAGUUUAUCGGGCNNGCAUCAGUUUGGGCGGUAGGACAAUUGCGUUGGAAUGUNNNACGGCUUCCGUUGUGUGUUAUAGCCUUCGUCGAUACUGCCAUCCUAGACUGAGGACUGCAGUUUAUACCUACGAUGUUGGCAUAAUGAUCUUAAAUCGCCCGUCUUGA
rnacentral:rRNA from 1 species